AGUGGACAAGUAAGACUCAGUAUUGUUGAAAGUGCACUUUUGUGCCGUUGUAUGUCUGAAGUUAGGGUCCUGAGAAACGAUGCUUAAGUCUUCUGGAAAGGAGCGCCAUGGAGGGUGAUAGCCCCGUCUAGCAUUGACCUCAUAUAGGAUCUUAACAUGGAGUCGAGUUGUUUGGGAAUUCAACUCAAUUGGGUGGUAUGCUCCAUCUAAAGCUAAAUAUCUGCGAGAGACCGAUAGUAAACAAGUACUGUGAGGGAAAGAUGAAAAGAACUUUGAAAAGAAGUGAAAAGUACGUGAAAUUGUUGAAUGGAAGGUUGCCCUAACCUGUAAACCUGUUUGGGGGGAAAAGAUUGCUGUAAUUUUACCCCGCAAAUUUU
rnacentral:rRNA from 1 species